UUUAGUAGAUGACUGAAGAAAUAAUCCUACUUAGGAUACAGGUUUUGCAAUAGGAAUAGAAGAAAUAAACAUACUGUGGUACCAGAACCAAGAGAAAAGGAGUAUAUAACAAUGCCAAAAUUAUAAAAAGAGAGGAGAAAGACAUUUUUGGGAAAGACAGUCCUUUACAUAAAUACUUCAGUUGAGUUGGUAAAUGGAAAAGAGUUCCACUGAUCUUGUUUACUGUUCCAUCAAUCCAUUAGAUAUUUCUGUAGUGCUGUUUGUUUCUUUAAUUUGACAUUACCACUUGUAUGUCUUGUGAAAUACCAUUUGAAUGCCAAGGUAACUGAGAUUUUGGAACACACUGUUGACAACUGUUUUGGAGCUACAAAUAUGAUGUGUGCUACAUCUGAGGUGGAGGUAUCAGACUGUGGAACAGGAGUGUCAGACACACUGAUGUUACUCUGGGCCCCUGAACUGAUUCGGAGUGACCAUUCAAAUAUGAGAACUUCAGUAUAGAUGGCAAAUUUUUCUCAAGACUUAAUGUACAGGACCAUGAGAGCAACUGAUAGAGCUAAAAAUAAGUAUCUUUUUUUCCAAUUAAAAAUGUGCACAGUGAUAUUUUAAAUGUCAAAGAAAUUAUAAUUCAGGUUUCAUUGUAUUAUUAUACUAUGCUGAAGCUAACAGUUUUCCAUUACUCCCUGAAUAAUAUGUAAUAAUGAUUUGAAUAAUAUGUAAUAAUGAUUUAGUG